rnacentral:rRNA from 1 species
UACGUAGGGUGCGAGCGUUGUCCGGAAUUACUGGGCGUAAAGAGCUCGUAGGUGGUUUGUCGCGUUGUUCGUGAAAACUCACAGCUUAACUGUGGGCGUGCGGGCGAUACGGGCUGACUGGAGUGCGGCAGGGGAGACUGGAAUUCCUGGUGUAGCGGUGAAAUGCGCAGAUAUCAGGAGGAACACCGGUGGCGAAGGCGGGUCUCUGGGCCGUUACUGACGCUGAGGAGCGAAAGCGUGGGGAGCGAACAGG